rnacentral:rRNA from 1 species
CCUACGGGUGGCAGCAGUGGGGAAUAUUGGUCAAUGGGCGGAACCCUGAUCCAGCGACGCCGCGUGAGUGAAGACGUAUCUCGGUAUGUAAAGCUCUAUCAGCAGGGAAGAAAAUGACGGUACCUGUCUAAGAAGCCCCGGCUCACUACGUGCCAGCAGCCGUGGUAAUAAGUAGGGGGCAAGCGUUAUCCGGAUUUACUGGGUGUUAAGGGAGCGUAGGCGGUGCAGCAAGUCUGAUGUGAAAGGGCCGGGCCCAACCCCGGGACUGCAUUGGAAACUGUUGAACUGGAGUACAGGAGAGGUAAGCGGAAUUCCUAGUGUAGCGGUGAAAUGCGUAGAUAUUAGGAAGAACACCAGUGGCGAAGGCGGCAUACUGGACUGUAACUGACGUGGAGGCUCGAAAGCGUGGGGAGCAAACAGGAUUAGAUACCCGAGUAGUC